AGGAGAUAUGAUGAGAUUAUCCAGUAAUUCUGUAUCAGCAUGAUGAAACUAACAUGCACUACCAUCUGAUCUCAC
rnacentral:snoRNA from 1 species